AAUGAACGCUGGCGGCGUGCUUAACACAUGCAAGUCGAACGGAAAGGCCCAAGCUUGCUUGGGUACUCGAGUGGCGAACGGGUGAGUAACACGUGGGUGAUCUGCCCUGCACUUCGGGAUAAGCCUGGGAAACUGGGUCUAAUACCGGAUAGGACCACUUCUUGGAUGUUGUGGUGGAAAGUUUUUUCGGUGUGGGAUGAGCUCGCGGCCUAUCAGCUUGUUGGUGGGGUAAUGGCCUACCAAGGCGUCGACGGGUAGCCGGCCUGAGAGGGUGUACGGCCACAUUGGGACUGAGAUACGGCCCAGACUCCUACGGGAGGCAGCAGUGGGGAAUAUUGCACAAUGGGCGCAAGCCUGAUGCAGCGACGCCGCGUGGGGGAUGACGGCCUUCGGGUUGUAAACUCCUUUCGCUAGGGACGAAGCGUUUUGUGACGGUACCUGGAGAAGAAGCACCGGCUAACUACGUG
rnacentral:rRNA from 1 species